UCUGGUUGGAAGUGGUAACACUGCUAGGAUUUCAGGAAUAGAUCCAUUACUUAGGUCUGGCCAAUACACAGAAAUUGGCUCAGUGAUUACCUAAGCUGGGCCAGUAGGAAUCUUUCCAGAGGGUUGUUGAACUGCUAGAAUGUAAACCUGGGUGGCUGUGAAGAGAGAGUGGGCCUGAGAAAGUAGCCACUUCCAGGGAAAGGAGAGCAAAGAGAUGGGAAGAGACAGAUUUCUGAAGUUGCUGGAACUUCAUACCACUGGGAUUUUCAGUUACAAGAGUUGAUAUUUGGAUGUUUGCCUAAGAAAAUGGGAUUGGGUACGAUGAGAAGGUCACCUGAUCAGUCUUGCUUCUCCAGUCCUACCACAUAUUUAAGAUGAGGCUUCAUUACUAUUCUGAGGACUUACUAUUUCUGGGUAUAUCAGAAGAUUCCCACUUGGAAGCCAUACUAUUGCCAUCAGUGACCAGUGUCCUUGGAAGAUGAUAGUUUAUGAACUCCUGUUUCCAGGAGGAGAAAAGGACACUGAAAUAUCAGAAAGGGGUGAUCUGAACAGGAGUACAAGGAUGAAUCUCAGAAGCCAGUCUGACCUUCCGGGGACACAUCUCUCUGCAGAGCGGAGCCUCUAGAUGGCGAAGGAACACCGCGGAGACUGCACGGCUUUUGCAGGGCUCGGAGGCGGUGGAAGCGCUCAGAGCUCCGGUGAUUUAACAGCCCGC
ensembl:lncRNA